GACGAACGCUGGCGGCGUGCUUAACACAUGCAAGUCGAGCGGAGCGGCGAACGGGUGCGUAACGCGUGAGUAACUGCCCCCCUCCCUGGGAUAACAGUUGGAAACGGCUGCUAAUACCGGUUAGUGGGGGGUGACUCGCGUCCUAUCAGCUUGUUGGUGGGGUAGUGGACUACCAAUGCGACGACGGGUAGCCGGCCUGAGAGGGCGACCGGCCACAUUGGGCUGGGAUACGGCCCAAAGUCCUACGGGAGGCAGCAGUGGGGAAUAGUGCACAAUGGGGGAAGCCCUGAUGCAGGAGGGCGCGUGCGGGAUGACGGCCUUCGGGUUGUAAACCGCUUUCAGCCAUGACGCGGUAGUGGCAGAAGAAGCACCGGCUAACUACGUGCCAGCAGCCGCGGUAAUUC
rnacentral:rRNA from 1 species